CUUUGAUAUGAUUAUGAUCAGUUGCACGUUCGACGAUUUCAUUUUUAUCAUUUAGUUUAACGUAUGACUAACACGUUUCUUUUACAGCAAUUUCGACGUUGAAUAUCGUUCUUCAAUAUUUUAUGGUAACGAGAUUUGUGUCCAUCGAUGUUAAAUAAAGUUUUGUUUUUUUCACUUAAAAUCGCCGACGUCAUUUUAUGCGAA